rnacentral:lncRNA from 1 species
CCUGGGGGCUGGGCUGUCAGUUGGGGUGGAGUCCAUGGCUUGGAGUGAGAACUUAUAGGUGCUUUUUCCAGGCCCGCCCAUGGCCACCCAUGGACCAAUCAACACGCACUUCCUGUCUUCUGAAGUCCAUAAAACUCCAGACUCACCCAAACUCACAGACAUCUGGGCUGCUAGCUGCAUGAAGGAGCUACCCGCUGUGGGUCUCCUCUUUGCUGACAGCUGGACACUUGACAGAAUGACCUGCCUGAACUCGGGACCUGCAGAAUGAUGGGACUGAAGAAGCUGUAACACAAACAGGGCUAAAACACGCACUCUCCUCCCCCUGCUCCCCACCGCCCCACCCACUUGCCACAUUGGAGGUGAUGAGAAGGAGAGAAGAGCUGUGGCCUUUCAGGGAGCAUAGUCCCAGGGGCUCCCUGAGCCAGGGCUGUGAAACCCUCUUCCGGGCACUGCAGUUCCUGGCAUCUCCAAACUUCUGAGUGCCACCGCAUUCCCCGCGUCCGGAUGCAGGUCAAUGCACAGAAAGAAAUCUCUCUCCUGACUUUAGUACAAUGGCACGAUUGGUGGCCACAGUCCAAGGAUGGUUGCUGGGGCACCAAGAGAUUUCUGACAAAGGGCAUUAAAACUGAGAAAGUUUGGGAACCUCUGAAUGCUGUAGGACUUGCAUUUACGUUCUAACUGAGCUUGUUGGACACUGAAAUGGAGGAAGAAUCACAAGCCAUUUUCAAACCUAUGGAGAAGAUAUCUAGAGUGGACUGCAGUUGGGUAUUUUCCUUCUCCGAG